rnacentral:tRNA from 1 species
GGGGAUUUAGCUCAGUGGCAUAAGCGCCUGCCUGGCAAGCACGAAGUUGUGAGUUCAAUCCCUA